AUAAAAGUGAAUGUAUACUUACAGCGCUGACAACCACUAAGCUCAGGAGUUAAGUGACAGCCUGGGGAGGAGCCCAGGGAGGGGCAGAGAGCAUAGCGUGUGGCACCUGCGGUUUCAGGCAUGUCCUGGUGCCCAGGCCCCUCGCCUAGCAGAAACCAGAGCCACAGGGCCGUGACCGUGGCCGAGUAACUGACCGUGCGCGACUCCGUGGUCAGACCCAGGACUGCUGCGCGCACUAGCUACCCACAGCGCACCGCGGCGCGCACGCGUAGAGCGCCGUUCCCGGCGUGCAGCGUUGCGGCCCAGGCGGCCGUCUUAGUCUGCCCCGCAGGGCCGGUGGGGCACGAGCAGCGGGAACAUGGCUCUAAAACGGAUCCAGAAGGAACUGACUGAUUACAGAGGGAUCCCCCUGCUCAGUGUUCUGCGGGACCUGUGGGUGAUGACUGUUGCUUUCACUACCAGAAUCUAUCACCCUAAUAUCAACAGCAAUGGCAGCAUUUGCCUGGACAUCCUGAGGUCACAGUGGUCCCCAGCACUGACUGUGUCUAAAGUUCUCCUGUCUAUCUGCUCUCUGCUCUGCGACCCCAACCCUGAUGACCCACUCGUGCCAGAAAUAGCCCACACUUACAAGGCCGACAGAGCGAAGUAUGCGCCCUCUUAGGGUUGGCUUUGUGUGCAGCUGCCCAGGUUCCCACGGACAUCUUCCUGCCCAAGCCAAGCCCAUGUAAAACAGACUAGCAAGAGAGUGGACACAGAAAUAUGCUAUGUAAGUGCCUCGAAGGCUCCAUGGAAGACCCUGUCCAAGAGAAGCUCGCCCCACAGAGUGACCUUCCUGUGAAGCUCUGAGCUCUUGGCUAAGGCACUCUCGGAACAUCCUGUGUUCACACAUGUGUUGGCACUCACCUCUGUGGCUGCAGCAUGUUGGUGCCACUUUUAGCCAUUGUGGCCUUGACAGUACCACACCUUUGAUACUAAAUCAGCAACCACUGUUAUGAUCUACAGUCUUCCUGGUUACACUAGAAUCUGUCUGGGGAAUCAAGCCAUGCAUGCCUCCUGUACUUGUCCUCAAAUGGUGCCACUACUCACUGUGACACUCUAGAGGGGCCCAGUCUGCCCCCUGACCACCUGCCCUUUGCCUUUAGAGCACAGUGAUUUCCUAGGGGCCCAGACAGAGUGGGCUCUCUUCAUACUUUGUCUGCCACAGAACCAUGUCCUAAGGAGUGCCACUAUGUCCUGGAGGCUCCUAGAAAUUGGAACAGCCUCCCCUGAAAGCCAUCUUCCGCCACGUUCCUCCAUAGUGCUCCAUGCUGCAAACAGCAAGCGAGGAGCAUUGGGGCAUUUAAAGCACAUAACACCCAAGGAAGAAUGGGAUUCUCAGACAAGGGGAGAUUCGGGUUAUGCUUGUGUAUGUAAUGAGGCUUCCUCUACCGUCUUCCCACUGGAAACUUAACGUGAAAUUCAAGCAUAAGCCAUUCACAAACUGGAACACAAGGAAGGAAUGGGACUUUAAAUGGUAAUAAAAAUGGUCAUUCCUUCAGAAGUGACAAUUGACAUUUAAGUUUCCUUUUUUUCUCUUAGAAGAAAAUAAACAUAACAGGUCCUUUUUUUUUUUUUUUUUUUUUUUAAGAUUUAGUUUGGGCUGGUGAGAUGGCUCAGUGGGUAAGAGCACCCGACUGCUCUUCCGAAGGUCCGGAGUUCAAAU
rnacentral:lncRNA from 1 species